rnacentral:rRNA from 1 species
CGGCGAGUGAAGCGGCAAAAGCUCAGAUUUGGAAUCGCUUCGGCGAGUUGUGAAUUGCAGGUUGGCGCCUCUGCGGCGGCGGCGGUCCAAGUCCCUUGGAACAGGGCGCCAUUGAGGGUGAGAGCCCCGUGGGACCGUUUGCCUAUGCUCUGAGGCCCUUCUGACGAGUCGAGUUGUU